AAGCAGUGAUGAAUAAAGCGCUCAAGUGGUGAUGGGUCGCCACGAUUUGUCUGAUCUAUAAAUCGGACGAUCAAUAGCGCAUCUGAGUUU